rnacentral:rRNA from 1 species
UACGGGGGGGGCAAGCGUUGUUCGGAAUUACUGGGCGUAAAGGGCUCGUAGGCGGCCAACUAAGUCAUACGUGAAAUCCCCGGGCUCAACCCGGGAACUGCGUCCGAUACUGGCAGGCUUGAAUUCGGGAGAGGGAUGUGGAAUUCCAGGUGUAGCGGUGAAAUGCGUAGAUAUCUGGAGGAACACCGGUGGCGAAGGCGGCAUCCUGGACCGAUAUUGACGCUGAUGCGCGAAAGCCAGGGGAGCAAACGGG